UCCUGGGAUAACACUGACGUUCAUGCCCGAAAGCGUGGGUAGCAAACAGGAUUAGAUACCCUGGUAGUCCACGCCCUAAACGAUGUCGAUUAGCUGUUGGGCAGCAUGACUGCUUAGUAGCGAAGCUAACGCGUGAAAUCGACCGCCUGGGGAGUACGGUCGCAAGAUUAAAACUCAAAGGAAUUGACGGGGACCCGCACAAGCGGUGGAUGAUGUGGAUUAAUUCGAUGCAACGCGAAGAACCUUACCUGGUCUUGACAUGUACGGAACCCUCCAGAGACGGAGGGGUGCCUUCGGGAGCCGUAACACAGGUGCUGCAUGGCUGUCGUCAGCUCGUGUCGUGAGAUGUUGGGUUAAGUCCCGCAACGAGCGCAACCCUUGUCAUUAGUUGCCAUCAUUAAGUUGGGCACUCUAAUGAGACUGCCGGUGACAAGCCGGAAGAAGGUGGGGAUGACGUCAAGUCCUCAUGGCCCUUAUGACCAGGGCUUCACACGUCAUACAAUGGUCGGUACAGAGGGUAGCCAAGCCGCGAGGUGGAGCCAAUCUCACAAAACCGAUCGUAGUCCGGAUUGCACUCUGCAACUCGAGUGCAUGAAGUCGGAAUCGCUAGUAAUCGCAGGUCAGCAUACUGCGGUGAAUACGUUCCCGGGUCUUGUACACACCGCCCGUCACACCAUGGGAGUGGGGGAUACCAGAAGUAGGUAGGGUAACCGCAAGGAGCCCGCUUACCACGGUAUGCUUCAUGACUGGGGUGAAGUCGUAACAAGGUAGCCGUAGGGGAACC
rnacentral:rRNA from 1 species